UGGGGAAUAUUGCACAAUGGGCGAAAGCCUGAUGCAGCAACGCCGCGUGAGCGAUGAAGGCCUUUGGGUCGUAAAGCUCUGUCCUUGGGGAAGAAAAAAAUGACGGUACCCAUGGAGGAAGCCCCGGCUAACUACGUGCCAGCAGCCGCGGUAAUACGUAGGGGGCAAGCGUUAUCCGGAAUUAUUGGGCGUAAAGAGUGCGUAGGUGGUUUUGUAAGCGCGGGGUGAAAGGCAAUGGCUUAACUAUUGUGAGCCUUGUGAACUGCAAAACUUGAGUGCAGGAGAGGAAAGCGGAAUUCCUAGUGUAGCGGUGAAAUGCGUAGAUAUUAGGAGGAACACCAGUGGCGAAGGCGGCUUUCUGGACUGUAACUGACACUGAGGCACGAAAGCGUGGGGAGCAAACA
rnacentral:rRNA from 1 species